rnacentral:rRNA from 1 species
AAACCGUUCCCGAGGAUCUAUUGGAGGGCAAGUCUGGUGCCAGCAGCCGCGGUAAUUCCAGCUCCAAUAGCGUAUAUUAAAGUUGUUGUGGUUAAAAAGCUCGUAGUUGGAUUUCGGCGGGUAGUGGUCGGUUUGAAUUGCUUCAACACUGGCUUUUUUACCCGUGUGUUUUGCCAGAAUUUAACGGGUGAUCUUCGCCGAUUGUCCGUUAGAACUGGCAGGUUUACUUUGAAAAAAUUAGAGUGCUCAAAGCAAGCUUGAUUGCUUGAAUAUUCGUGCAUGGAAUAAUAGAAUAGGAAGUCGUUUCUAUUUUGUUGGUUUUCGGAAAUCGACUUAAUGAUUAAUAGGGAUAGUCGGGGGCAUUUGUAUUCAAACGACAGAGGUGAAAUUCUUGGACCGUUUGAAGACAAACUACUGCGAAAGCAUUUGCCAAGAAUGUUUUCAUUAAUCAAGAACGAAAGUUAGAGGUUCGAAGGCGAUUAGAUACCGCCCUAGUUCUAACCAUAAACGAUGCCAGCUAGCGAUCUGCCGGUGCUUGAUUUUCUGGCCCGGCAGGCAGCUUCCGGGAAACCAAAGCUUGUGGGUUCCAGGGGAAGUAUGGUUGCAAAGCUGAAACUUAAAGGAAUUGACGGAAGGGCACCACCAGGAGUGGAGCCUGUGGCUUAAUUUGACCCAACACGGGAAAUCUCACCAGGCCCGGACACCAGAAGGAUUGACAGAUUGAUAGCUCUUUCUUGAUUUGGUGGGUGGUGGUGCAUGGCCGUUCUUAGUUGGUGGAGUGAUUUGUCUGGUUAAUUCCGAUAACGAACGAGACUCUGUCCUGUUAAAUAGAUCCAACCUAGUUGUAGGGUUGGAAUGUCUUCUUAGAGGGACUGGUGAUUAUUAGUCACACGAGAUUGAGCAAUAACAGGUCUGUGAUGCCCUUAGAUGUUCUGGGCCGCACACGCGCUACACUGAAGUGAUCAGCUAGUUUUUCCCUCUCCGAGAGGAGCGGGUAAACUGUUGAACCCACUUCGUGGUAGGGAUCGGAGCUUGCAAUUAUUCUCCGUGAACCAGGAAUUCCCAGUAGGUGCAAGUCAUAAGCUUGCAUCGAUUACGUCCCUGCCCUUUGUACACACCGCCCGUCGCUACUACCGAUUGAGUGUUUUAGUGAGGACCUCGGAUUGCUUGCCUGGCGGUUAACGCUGCCUAGCUGGCGAAAAGACGUCCAAACUGUAGCACUUAGAGGAGGUAAAAGUC